rnacentral:lncRNA from 1 species
AUGUCCAUUGAGUCGGUGAAUGCCAUCCAACCAUCUCAUCCUCUGUUGUCUCUGUUGUCUCCUCCCAACCAGCUCACAAAGGUUCCAGAAGUUUAUCAGCUGGCUUUUGUGACUGGCAGGAGUCAAGUCCAGCAGACCUGUGCUUGUAGCAGUACAUUCUUGGAUCUCUGUGUUCACAAAGCAGAGCAGGGGCAGACUGGGACGGAGGACUGCCUUCGGGUUUUCUCCCACAGACGGAAAUUCAAAGCCAACAGGCCUCUCCCCGAGAGACUGCAGACCCAGGCCAAGGUUCCCAGGAAAUGGCCAGCUCACCCUGUCUGACAAGUGACCUCUCCUGACAAGUGGCCAAUUGAGUUUCAAAACAACAGUGCCACUGACUAAAAGAAAAUUGCCUCUUUAAAAAAAAAUUGUAUUUAUUUAUUUUUGGCUGUGCUGGGUCUUCGUUGCUGUGAGGGCUUUUCUCUAGUCGUUACAAGUGAGGGCUACUCUUUAACUGUCAUAUGCAGGCUUCUCAUGGCAGCGGCUUCUCUUGGGUGGAGCAUGUGCUCUGGGCAUGGGGGCUUCAGUAGUUGUGGCCUGGGGCUCAGUAGUUGCCGUUCCCGGGCUUUAGAGCCCAGACUUAAUAGUUGUGGUACAUGGGCUUGUGGAGUUAGUUGCUCUGGGGCAUGUGGAGUCUUUAGUGUCAGAGGUCAAACCCAAGUCUCCUGCAUUGGUAGGCAGACUUACACUGAGCCACCAGGGAAGGCCAAAAUUGCCUCUUCUUAAAGAACGCAAGGUGGUUCAUAGGUGGAUCAGAGUUCCACUCUUCAGAUGCAGGAAUAUGGGGGACACUCAUACUCAUUCCACAGAACAGGAUAUCUGGGUCACCCCUUCCCAGAGGGGCUGACGCAUGCGUAUGCUCUGCUUACGCUCGAGGGAAUUGGUAGCUGGAGGUAGUGCAGGACCCGCCGUACUGGGCAUGCUUUCUGAACACAGGAGCGCCUGCCAUGGAUCUGCUCCACCGCUCGGUAAUGAGGGCUCAGACUGGUGACUCCUGGCCUCUGCACAGUGUGUGUUUUGUUUCCUUGCUUGAAGGCAAUUUUAAGCUUAAAUGUAUAUGGGUGGGAGGGGAACAUGUUUUCCUAUUAGACAGUCUAAAACAACUGGCAAAGGUACAAGGAGCCCUUGUUACCUGGACCAGGAUCUGAGGAAAUGCUCCUUACCCAGAAGAGGACUCUGGAAUAAACUGUUCCUUUCACCAGGCUGGCUCA